CAGAGAUGUUCCCUCCCACUGUCAGUGUUGGGUCCACUGUGUUGUGUGUGCUGAUGGUGCAACUGUACAGUGACCGCUAUUUACCUUUUGAGGAGGGUUCCACGUACACUCGCUGCUGGAUAUCAAUUUGAAAUUGACGCUGGAGAUGGACAGUUAGCUUGCAUAUAAAGACGAAAUGUUUAUCUUAGCUAUCAGUCACUUCUGGGACACGUAUCAUCAAAGAAACGGAUGGUGCCAUGCACAGUAGAAGGGGAUGAGAAUCAUGAAGCCAACCCGUCACCUGCUCCUGGUGCUUUGUCCCAUGGUGGUCCUGGGCUUCCUCUACUACUCCUCUGGGAGACUGCACCCCUGGGGCUGGGGACAUAAAUCAUCACAGAAAGACCUGGAUAGUUUUUUCUCCGUGGGACGAUUAUUUCACUCAGUGUAUGACAAACAGGGAUUCUUGCUGAAGUUGGAUGGUAAUCUGCCUUUGGAGCUGAUGUACAAGUAUGGCAAUCUCAGCGAGGGAGUCUGCAAGCCUGGCUAUGCAGCUGCUAAGAUGACUGCCAUUUAUCCAAAGUUCACUAAACCAGCCCCCAUGUUCCUUGAUCCGAAUUUUAGACGAUUCGCCAAAAUCAGCAAAUUCUUCCCACCCUUUGGAAUGAAAAUGCAAGAAAAGAUCAUAGAUAAUAUUCUGACAGCCACAAAGAGCUAUGGUCUGGAAGAUGAGCUGGACAGUCUGAGUUGUAAAAAGUGUAUAAUCAUGGGAAAUGGUGCUAUUCUGACCAACAAGUCUAUGGGUGCAAGGAUUGACGAGUACAAUGUAAUUGCAAGGUUGAACGAGGCCCCAGUGAGUGGCUAUGAGAAAGAUGUGGGCUCCCGGACCACUAUGCGUAUCACCUACCCAGAGGGAGCCAUCCAGAAGACUGAACGCUACGAACAGGACUCCCUCUUCGUUCUCUCUGCCUUCAAAGCUCUCGACUUCAAAUGGCUGCGGUCCAUGAUCUUUAAAGAGAGGCUGCAUAGUACAGAUGGGUUCUGGAAGUCUGUGGCCCAUCAUGUCCCCAGGGAGCCCAGUGAGAUGAGGAUCCUCAACCCUUACUUCAUCCAGGAGGCUGCCUUCAGGUUCAUUGGCCUGCCACACAACAAGGGACAGAUGGGGAGAGGGAAUAUUCCGACACUGGGGACUGUUGCCAUAACAAUGGCCCUCCAUAACUGUGAUGAGGUAGCCGUCGCUGGAUUUGGUUAUGACAUGAGUACCCCCCACGCUCCCCUACACUACUAUGAGAAGAUCAGGAUGGUGGCCAUCAAACAGAUAACCAACCAUUUACGACGUUUGGAAUGAGACUAACGUGAGAUGUGAUAGGGCAGUGCCAUGGUGAUUGCAUCAUCUGUGGAUCUGUUGGUGUGGUAUGCAAAUUGUUGUGGGUCUAGUGUGUCCGGUAAGGUGGAGGUGAUAUGAUCUUUAACUACCCUCUCAAAGCACUUCAUGAUGACAGAUGUGAGUACUACUGAGCGAUAAUCAUUUACUUCAGUUACCUUCACUUUCUUGGGUACAGGAACAAUGGUGGACAUCUUGAAGCAAUUGGGGACAACAGACUUAUAGGGAGAGCUUCAAUAUGUCUUUAAACACUCUGCACAUGCUCUGAGGACACGGCUAUGGAUGCAGUCUGGGCUGGCAGCCUUGCGAGGGUUAACACACUUAAAUGUCUUACUCAUGUCAGCCACGUAGAACGAGAGCUCACAUUCCUCAUGACCGGUGUUGGCCCAUGCCGGGGACACUUUGUUGUCCUUGAAGCGGGUGAAGAAGAUAUUUAGCUUGUCCGGGAGCAAGGAGUCGGUGUCAGCGACGUGGCUGGUUUUCCAUUUAUAAUCCAUGAUUGUCUGGACUCCCUGCCAUAUACAUCUCGUGUCUGAGCCAUUGAAUUGUGACUGUUCUAUUGCCUUACGGAGGGCAUAGCUGGACUGUUUGUACUCGUCCAUGUUCCCAGUCACCUUGCAAUGGUUAUUUGCAGUGGUUUACACUUUUAGUUUUGUCCGAACGCUGCCAAUAAUGUAUUUCAUUUGGAUAAGUUUUAUACGUCACAGUGGGAACAACAUCCUCUAUGUACUUCCUCUAUGAACACUGGCUGCCUGUGAGUUUUAUAAUACAUUUCAAGAUUCUUCUAUUGUUUUUUAAAACAAUCCAUGAUUGUGCACCCCAGUACUUGUCAGACUUGCUUUUAAGUUAUGUAACCAGUAGGUCCCUCAGGUCCUCUGUCACUGGCCUUUUAACUAUCCCAAAGCCUAGGACCAAGAGGCAUGGAGAGGCAGCCUUUAGUUAUUAUGCUUCUGGAAUAGCCUGCUAGAGAACCUGAGGGAGACCGAAACGCUGGACAUAUGUGGACUGUGGACACAUCUUUUUAGCUUUUCUUUUCCUUAGGGUGCUUUUUAGUUGUUCGGUUUGUGUCAUUGUGUUACGCCUGCUCCCGCUCCUCCUCUCUGGUGCCAGGCUUCCUGUCAUUACACGCACCUGUCACCAUCAUUACGCACAUCAGCACACAUUGGACACACCUGGACACCUGGCCCCUCUAUAUCUGUCUGUUCCUCAGUUCCCCUGUGUCAGCAUUAUUGUUAUUUUGUUUCCCCCUGCCCAGACUCUGUCCGUAUUCUAUUCCUGUCCGUGUUUCAUUAAAUGUUCUCUCCCUGUACUUGCUUCUCGUCUCUAGCGUCUGUCCUUACAGAAUGCUGACACCAAUAUUUGAAGCAUCAGGGAGGUUUUUGUUUUCUGUUUUGUUGGUGAUGUCGGGCCCGGGUGCCGCUGCUGUAGGAACCAGGGGUGCCUCAGCUGGCUCGUCGGGCUUCCACACCUUAGCUGGUUCGAGAGGUUUCCUUGCCUCGGUUGGCAAAAAAACAUAAAGCUUGAUUUGAUUUGAUCUGAUAAACUCAGUCACUGAGUCAGUGUAUACGUCAAUGUUAUUCUCAAAGGCAACUCAGAACAUAUCAACAUUCAAUCUUGAAGCAUAGAUUCUGAUUAGUCAGACCAACGUUGACCAGUCCUUACCAUGGAUACUUCAUGUUUAAGUUUCUGCCUAUAGGAAGGGAGGAGCAGAAUGGACGCGUCAUCUGAUUUGCCGAAGGAAGGGCGCUGGGGAGGGCUUUUUAGCCGUCCCGGAAAAGGGGAGUAACACUUGUCAAUAAUUCCAUGGCUGUUUUCUACAAAUGCUUUUGGAGACUGUCUUUUUAAUUUACAAUGAUUACAUCAAGGUAGGUAGUGAAAAGAAAGUUAGCUAACUGAUUACAUUUAAUUAACUUAGCUAAACAGUGUGUAAAGUUAGCUAGCUAGCAGCUCAGUUUAGUUAGCCUACAAAGUAGCCUACUACUAUUACUGUUUUAAAAUUUUUCAAAAUGUAUUUACUUACUUAAAUAGGUUCUCCCACUGCCUCUGUUUUUUUUGUGUCCUUACCCUAGCAAACUGGUCCCUAACUCAGAGGUGUGAAGUGGUCUCUGCCACUGCACAAUGGGGUCAAGCUGAGGCAGGGGAUGGUAGCCUACCUCAGCAGUAAACCGACAAAGGUUAACUGCCUUGCUCAAGGGCAGAACAACACAUUUUUGCCAUGUUGGCUCGGGGACUCGAUCCAGCAACCUUUCGAGGGACAAACUUUGUAGCCUUUUACUGCUGGGGUGCAGAGAGACAACAGGUCAGAAGAACUUUGCACCACCUCAACAAAACUCACCACUGGAUCCUUCCUACCGAGGACAAGCCUCCACCCUGGACUGUGCAACCAUGUGUUAGUGUGUCACUGACCAUGUAAGUGGACUUUAGGGUUCAUGUGCAUAUUCUGCCUCUGUAUAUAAUAGUCCCUUGGGACUGUGUAACUACUGUGUAAUUACUGUGUGCUUAUUAAUUUGAGGGUUAAAUGUUACUAUCUCAGGCCUGUGUACUAGCCACACUAGUCCUGCUUAUCUGGCCCUUAUGGCAUAGUUCAGGGGUACAUACUUUUUUCAUGUUCAGGCUAUGAGGUAAAAUCUUUCCCCAUUACACUCCAUGAGCCAAGAUGGCUGCCAGCCUAUUGUGUCUCACACUCACCCAAGAUGGCCGGCCUAUAACAUCAUCACGUCCUGGCCUCUCCCAAGAUGCCUGCCCCCAUGGCCUUGUUAUUGUCUACACGUUAACAUCCUUGCAUGCUAAUGCUAUCUAUUAGCCUUGCGUGCUAACUGUAUAGCUUUUACGUUGUCUGCCCUGUCCAAGAGCCUGUGGUCUAUCAGCCUAGCAUGCUAUCCUGCCUCUGUAUAUACUGUCCCAUACUACUAGCCUAACCUAGUGUGCUACUGUACAUGUAUACUGUCAUAUUGUGUGCUACAUUAACUGGGUCCUACUAGCCUCUCUGUGUAGCCAAUAUUGCUAACGUACUAGUACUGCUCAUGCUACUGCUAUUACUUUGUACAUCCUGUAGCCUGUUCUGUUCAUUGUGUGCUAUUAGCCAAUAUAUUGCUUGCCACUUUACAAUGAUGCAGUUAUUAGCACUGCUAUUACUACGGUAGCAUUACAAUACAUUGUUAUUACUGCCUUUGUAGCUAUAACAGUUGUACAUUGUCUGAUUCUUUCUCUCUUGUCUUUUCCUACCACUAUCCCUUUCACUACUACCAUCAGUCCAAUUCCUAUCUCUGUGUGUGUGUGUGCCUGUCUGUCUUGAAUGUGGAAUAAAGUGUGUUCUGUA